CGAAAGCCUGACGGAGCAACGCCGCGUGAGGGAGGGAGGCUCUUGGGUUGUAAACCUCUUUUGUUAGGGAAGAAGUAAGUGACGGUACCUAACGAAUCAGCAUCGGCUAACUCCGUGCCAGCAGCCGCGGUAAUACGGAGGAUGCAAGCGUUAUCCGGAAUUAUUGGGCGUAGAGCGUCCGCAGGUGGAAUUUCAAGUCGGCGGUCAAAGACCGAAGCUUAACUUCGGGAAGGCAGUGGAAACUGAAAAACUAGAGACCAGUAGGGGUAGCGGGAAUUCCCAGUGUAGCGGUGAAAUGCGUAGAGAUUGGGAAGAACAUCGGUGGCGAAAGCGCGCUACUGGGCUGGGACUGACACUGAGGGACGAAAGCUAGGGGAGCGAAAGGGAUUAGAUACCCCUGUAGUCCUAGCCGUAAACGAUGGAGACUAGGCGUAGCUUGUAUCGACCCAAGCUGUGCCGAAGCUAACGCGUUAAGUCUCCCGCCUGGGGAGUACGCACGCAAGUGUGAAACUCAAAGGAAUUGACGGGGGCCCGCACAAGCGGUGGAGUAUGUGGUUUAAUUCGAUGCAACGCGAAGAACCUUACCAGGGCUUGACAUCUGUAGAACCCCGAUGAAAGUUGGGGGUGCCUUAGGGAGCUACAAGACAGGUGGUGCAUGGCUGUCGUCAGCUCGUGUCGUGAGAUGUUGGGUUAAGUCCCGCAACGAGCGCAACCCUCGUCCUUAGUUGCCAGCAUUGAGUUGGGCACUCUAGGGAGACUGCCGGUGACAAACCGGAGGAAGGUGGGGAUGACGUCAAGUCAGCAUGCCCCUUACGCCCUGGGCGACACACGUACUACAAUGGUCGGGACAAAGGGCAGCGAACCCGCGAGGGAAAGCGAAUCUCAGCAAACCCGGCCUCAGUUCAGAUUGCUCUGUGCAACUCGAGAGCAUGAAGGAGGAAUCGCUAGUAAUCGCCGGUCAGCAUACGGCGGUGAAUUCGUUCCCGGGCCUUGUACACACCGCCCGUCACACCAUGGAAGCUGGCCACGCCCGAAGUCGUUACCCUAACCCUUUAUGGGAGGGGGAUGCCGAAGGCAGGGCUAGUGACUGGGGUGAAGUCGUAACAAGGUAGCCGUACCGGAAGGUGUGGCUGGAUCACCUCCUU
rnacentral:rRNA from 1 species